rnacentral:rRNA from 1 species
UCCUCCCUCUUUCUUCGUGCCUAAUACAUGCAAGUUGAGCGCUGAAGGUUGGUACUUGUACCAACUGGAUGAGCAGCGAACGGGUGAGUAACGCGUGGGGAAUCUGCCUUUGAGCGGGGGACAACAUUUGGAAACGAAUGCUAAUACCGCAUAAAAACUUUAAACACAAGUUUUAAGUUUGAAAGAUGCAAUUGCAUCACUCAAAGAUGAUCCCGCGUUGUAUUAGCUAGUUGGUGAGGUAAAGGCUCACCAAGGCGAUGAUACAUAGCCGACCUGAGAGGGUGAUCGGCCACAUUGGGACUGAGACACGGCCCAAACUCCUACGGGAGGCAGCAGUAGGGAAUCUUCGGCAAUGGACGAAAGUCUGACCGAGCAACGCCGCGUGAGUGAAGAAGGGUUUCGGAUCGUAAAACUCUGUUGGUAGAGAAGAACGUUGGUGAGAGUGGAAAGCUCAUCAAGUGACGGUAACUACCCAGAAAGGGACGGCUAACUACGUG